GAGUAGCCGGUAGAGCUCGGCGUACUCGCCCCGCUGGAAGGCCACCAGGGCCCGCGCGCGCAACACCGGGUCGCUGCCACGUAGGCGCUCGGCCGGGGGCAGUGCGCCCAGGAAGCGGCUCAAGCGGCCUGCGUGGCCCGCCUGGAGCAGCGCCUCGCAGACGCACGCCACCUGCUCGGGCGAGAAGCGGAGGCCCGUGGGCGGUUCGGAAGCGGCCUCGGGGGGCGACCUGGGGACGCCCGGGGAUCCCGGGCCCUCAGCUCCCGCAGCCGCUUCGCCCGCCCCGGCCCCGGCCGCCGCCGCCGCCUCACCCUCGGCCGCCUGCAAAGUCUGCAAGAGCUGGCGCGCUUCCUCCUCCUCCUCUUCGGUCGCCGCCGCCGCCACCGCCUCCCCCCCGGCCGCGGGCCCCGCGCUCGGCUCCGCAGGCAAGCUUGCGUCCCCGGAGCGGAUGCGCGUGGCGUGCGCAGGCGCAGUGGAAGGAGGAUGGCCGUGCGCGCUGCCAGCCCAGCCCCCCUCUUCUCGACGUUCGCUGGCACAGCUGGGCCACAGCUGGGCAGGGGCGGUGCCUCCGGGUGGCCCGCUCGCCCUCCUAUUGGCCGGACGCCAAAGCCCCGCCCCGUGGCUUUUCCUCCCCCAACCCUGAUUUGUCCGCUUCGGAUCCCGCUAGCUCCUCCUAGACCUUCGGCCGCCUCCACUCGUCUUCGGAUUGGCCCGCUGCGCAGCCUCCUACCCACAACGCAAACCGCGGACACUGUGGAGUCCAGAGAUUUGGGCAGAUGGAGGGCCUUUUAUUAGCGAGGGUCGGGGGUGGGGUCCUAGGUGGGGACAGACAAUAAAUACCGAGGAAUGUCGGGGUCUCAGUGCAUCCAAAACGUGGAUUGGGGUGUUGGGGGUCCUGCAGCCUGUCAGCGAGUCGGAGGACGACGUCAAUAAAUAUCCAAACCGCCGAAGCGGGCGGAGCCGGCUGGGGCUCCGAGAGCAGCGCAAGUGAGCAGGGGGGGCGCGGGAUCCCCGAAAAAGCGGGUUUGGCAAAAGCAAAUUUCCCAAGUAAGCAAGCAGAGAUCGCGCCAGACGCUCCCCAGAGCAGGGCGUCAUGCACAAGAAAUAUUUGCAGUUUGCGAACCGACGAUAGGUGGGGGUGCGUGGAGGAUGGAACACGGACGGCCCAGCUUGCUGCCUUCUCAGGCCUGCAGUUUGCCCAUCCACGUCAGGGCCUCAGCCUGGCCGAAAGAAAGAAAUGGUCUGUGAUUCCCCCCACCAGCAGCAGCAGCAGCAGCAGCAGCAUUCCCGGCUACAAGGACCCUUCGAGCCCCGUUCGCCGGCCGCGGACCCGGCCCCUCCCUCCCCGGCCGCUAGGGGGCGGGCCCGGAUCACAGGACUGGAGCUGGGCGGAGACCCACGCUCGGAGCGGUGUGAACUGGCAGGUGGUGGGCGCGACUUCUGUGCCGUGCCCCGGGCGCUCAGUCUUCCAACGGGGCCCCGGAGUCGAAGACAGUUCUAGGGUUCAGGGAGCGCGGGCGGCUCCUGGGCGGCGCCAGACUGCGGUGAGUUGCCCGGCGUGGGCCACCAACCCAAUGCAGCCCAGGGCGGCGACACGAGACAGAGCAACGGCGAACAAGAGCAGGGAAAGCGCCUCCGAUAGGCCAGGCCUAGGGACCUGCGGGGAGAGGGCGAGGUCAACACCCGGCACGGGCCUCUGAUUGGCUCCUGGGACUCGCCCCGCCUACGCCCAUAGGUGUCUAUACACGCCCCGCGGAGCAGACGGUCCACCUCCUCCCGGUCCUCCGGGGAAGGGGACACAUGAGGGACUCGCCUGUGGCUCCCUCUGCCUGCAGCAACUCCAUCCGCUCCUGCAACUGCCGGACGUGUGCCUCUAGGUCCCGGUUCCGAGCCUCUGCCUCGCGUAGUUGACUGUGGGGAGGUAAGGACAGUGAGUCCGUCCGGGCCGGACGAGAGGGGCUGCCAAGGGUUGCCACGGGCCCCGCGCCCCGGCCCCGACCCCGACCUGGCGAAGUUCUGGUUGUCCGUGCGGAUGGCCUCCAUCUCCCGGCUCAGGCUCUGCCGGGUGAGCACCUCCUCCUCCAGGGCCUCCUGGAGCUCCCGCAGCGUCACCUCGGCCUCAGCCUCUGCCGCAGGGAUAGCCGCUGGAACUGCCACUUUAGCCUGUGUAUGGGGACCAGGUUUAAGGCUGCCUGUGGCUCCUGGAGGACUCAGGACUUGGGCACUGGUUCCAGGCUAGGGAUCCUUGCUUAUCCCCUACUCCUCCGUCCCCUCAAAAUUUCUGGAAUCCCCAUAGCUCCUGCAAUGAUCCAAGCCCCCUCCCUUCCCUACCUCCCUCAGCCCCAUCCCUGAGUCUGGUCCUCUAAAUCUACACAGGGACCAGAGGGCUGGUGCUCAAACACUAACACAACCUAUGUCCCUCUGCUGCUCAAAAUCCCUCCAGCUCCCUAAUGCCCUCACGACAAAAGGCCUUGCUGGGUUUUGUUUCCUGAUGGCCUCUCCAGCCUUCUCAGGAACAAACGAUUCAGCCAAACUACCUUUCAGGAACAAAUCAUGAUUCCCACCUGCCUUUGCCCUUGAGGCUCUCGCCUGACCACCUGGUACCUUUCCUUCCAUGGCUGGUUUCUCCUUCACGAGCACUCAGCUCAAAGAUCAACUCCUCAGAUCCCCAGCCACACACACACCCUCACUUAAUGCCCCACUGUAACUACAGAGACCGUCUCAUGUCUGAAGUAACCUCGUCUCUCUGUGGUUUCUGUCUGCUUCUGUUCAGGAAGUCCCUAGAGGGGUCUACAGUGCACGCUACCCGGAAAGCCCUCACCUUUUCUCUCCCGCUUGUCCCUGAAGGACCCCCUCCCCUCCACCAACUUACUGUUUCAUCCUGUGGGGACACCGAGGGCUCCAGGCUGGGCGCUUGCACGUGUGGCUCAAGCAGCUGCUCAGCCUCCAGUUCCAUGGGUGUGGGGCCUGGGACCUCACUGUCCCUGGGGAGAGGGAGUGGGGAGGGAGACAGAAUGCUGAUUCUCUGGUGGAGAACCAGAACUCAUGGCCUGUGGGUAGAGGCAGCUGCUUCAAAGACCUCCUGAUUUGAGGAAGGGGAGCAGCAGAGCGAAGAGAACAGAGUCCCAGGUAGGCCAGUAGACCCUCCUCUGCUUAGGAAAAGCCCUGCCCCUCCCCUGGCCUUGGGCCCCUGGGAGCUGCUCUUUCUAAACCUUCUGCAGGGACUUGGGGUCCAGACUCCCAUGUUCUAGGGUCAGCUCGUCUCCCCCCUUGACAUGUGACCUCUGCAGACCCCUCUUCUCAGGGCCUCAGGACAGGGAGGCCGACCUGAUGGGGAGACUGCUUGGCUCUGGCCACCUCCACAGAUGUGGUCCUAAGACUGGGCAUGGGACCCCAAGAUGGCGACUUGAGGCGGCCCACACCCCACUCAGCUGUGGGAAGGGGACAGCUCCUCCCUGGGGUAUGAAGUGGCUGUCCCCUCCAACCCAGCAGUCCCUCCUGUGGGAACAUGGCUCAGGACCUAGAUAUCCUGGACACGCGCCUGGGUUCUAAUAGAUGAUGGGUUCAAUCCUGACCCACCGUUCAGGCCCCAAAGCGGUUCAGAAUCAAGCUGGAGUUCAUUAAUGAUAAGGUAUAGUAUUUGUAAUGUUGUCCAGUAAUAAAAGCUGAUUAGAAAA